rnacentral:lncRNA from 1 species
UUCGUUCUAGCCUUUGCAACCCAAAACAAAAGACCCAAACCCCAUAAUAUCUCAUCAGUAGAUGACGCCCCUUUCUCUCUUAUUUUAUUUGACAAAGUUCCAUCUCCUUUCUUUCCAUGGGCAGAUUUUGUCCCUUCCAUUUUUGUGAAAUUCCUUGCUUUAAUGUCUUAACUUUCAGAAUCACAUCUGCCAUGGAGAUUCGGUCAACACAAGAAGCCAAGAUUCUUUUUUUUCAGAAGGUCAGAUUCGGCCUCUGUAUCAAGGAUUCGGAUCCGUUGAACGGAUACUUUCUUUUUCCUCUCAUCUGAAUUUCUCAAACAGCUUUUGAAAUUCAAACGGCUAGUGAUUCCUAAAAAUCCCGCCCAAGCCAAGAAACCUAAUACUUUCGCCUAUAAAUACUCACUUUUGGAUCCAUUUUUAGCAUAACUCUUAGCCGCCGCUCGAUGCCUCAUAAAAGCUACUGCUCUCAUUUGUUCUUAUAAUUUUGCCUUGCCAAAAAUCUUCUCUUUUCUUUUGUCUCUUGAUUCUGUUGGUUUUAAAUACAACAGAGGUGCUGCAUUUUUUUGUUGACCGUUGCAUCGUUUAACAGUCAUCCGAGUUAGCAAGUUCGAGGUCGCAGUGUAGAUCCUAAGCCAACGCCUCAGUUCGCUGCCCUAAAAUAGGUCAGUGAUUUUUCUCCGAUCUUUUCGAUUCCGUAGUUCUAAGCAUGUUUAUAUCUGCACAUAUUGGAAAAAAUGUUGUUACUUCCCUUUCGUUUCUUUUUCGACAUUUGAAGUGCUUCUUAUUAACCUCUGAUGUAAUUAAUUUGAGCCAUCAUUCUGUGUUCGUUGUUUGUUAGGAAUCAUGAGUUAAGUAUUCUUAGUUGUUGUCAAUAUAUUAGAAACCAUGUUUAGAACUUCUGCAUUUUAAACUAAAGCGUUAAUUGAUAGCAUGCCCAUAUGUAUGCACAACUACGUUCUGAUUAUCACCUUUAAAAUGGUUAAGACGCGAGUGUUUGAACUUAUAAUAAUCGUUGUAAAAGUAUAGGAUACGGUUGUCUGUUCCAUGAGAUUGAAGCUGAUUAAGGCAGUAGUCAUCAUCACGUCUAUUUAAUUAGAUGCUAUGUCCUAAGAAUUCAGUUAAGUCUUAAUGUUAACUAACUAUAUAAAUUCUAUAUGCUCUUUCGAGUCUGAUAUAUGAAACCCUACGCAUUUGUUUAAAGUAUUGGUAGUUUGAAACAAGUUGUCAGUGACAUCUCGCUAUUCAGUCAUGCCUAUAGGAUUUAUAUAAUACUACUAAAUCUGAUAUUAACAAAUAAUGAGUGCUUGCAGUUUAGCUCUAAAUGUUAUAGAAAGUUUUCUUUGUGAUAUAAAUGGGGUAUAGGUGUAGUAUUAUUCAUGUAAUUAAUCAGGUGUUUGAAAGAAUUGUAUGGGUUUACAUUGAGUCUGCAUUCUGUCCUCCUGGUCAUUUAUUUGUGGAUAUGUUGUAUCAGGUUGAGAGAAUUUGCUGUUCUAGCUUAAGUAAUUAAAUGUUAUAUAGAGUUGCAGUAGUUUGUUCUGAUUGUUUGGAAGCAUGUUAAAUUAGCACGUAUGUAAAUGGGUACCUUUAAGACUUCUUAGUGGUAGGAAUCAUGUCCAGCUCUUUCCUUGGAAGUAUUUUGGAUAAAUACAAGUAAUUCCAAAUGCAUUCCUUCUUCGUUUAAUUACCACUAACAUUGGCAGUAUGUAUCCUAUGUGAAGUUUUAAAAUUUGUUUCAGAUCUCUAUAAUCCUUAGAACACUCACCUUUAGUCAACUAUUCAACGUUUUGCUUUGCUAUUUUAUUUUUCGUGCAUAUUAAGGGUUAAGCUCUCUUCUAAUUCCACCCUUUACUUUAUUUGUCUUUGCAUGUCAUGCUGGAGUUACAAAGAGUCUCAAAGUGAGACUCUCCACCACCAUCACACGGAGUCAGUCACAUUCCAUCUUCUAGAGUCACCGGAUAGCAAGAAAAACAAGCGAAAUGCUCGUCUUUCUUAUCUUCUCUUUCUUUUACGAUUGUUUUAUUUAAUUUCUUGAUGUCUGCUGAUUUAUUUGAUUUGUGUUAAUCUCACGCUUAACAUGGGUUUGAAGAUUGAGUCUAUUUAAUUAUUUAGGAUCUUCUUUUUUAGCUAGCAAACAGAGUACCUAUUUUAUCAUUAUUUUACCAUAUACUCUCUUCGUUUCAAUUUACGUGAACCUAUUUCCUUUUUAGUUCAUGCCAAAAAAAAUGACCCUCUUUCCUUAUUUGAAAACAAUUUACCUUUAUGCAAUUAUUUAUAGCCACACAAAAUAUUUGUGCCUCAUUUUACAUCACAAGUUCAAAAGUCUUUCUCUCUUUUCUUAAACUUCGUGUCCAGUCAAAUGGGAACACAUAAAUUGAAACGGAGGGAGUAGUGUUUACCUCAACUUCUAACACUUCAAUACAGUAAUUUGACACUUUCACAAGUCGUUAAAAUGAAGUCUUUCAAAAGAUCCCGUUAACAUCCUUUCUAACAUCAUUAAGUUGAGAUUUUAUAAAGUCCAAAUGAAAAUUGCUUUUCUUUUAACAAGUAGGAAGACUUGUCUCCAACCGUUCUUCCUUUGAGAAUGAUUUUAAAUUAUUGCUUUUAUCAUGUCAAAAUUGAUCUAUUAAAUAUUCUCCUCAAAAUCAUCAGAUUUUUUAAUGGACUUAAAUAUUUUCCAUAAGGUAUAAGUAGCUAAGUUCCAUAGAAGUUGGCCAAUGCUGAAAUCGAAUACUCUCUUAUUUUUCAACCGAGUUACAGUUAGCUAUAUACAUUAAUACUUUAGCAUAAUGUUUUUUAUUAAUUAACCUAAGUUUGGCCGGUUAACCGUAUUUAAUGGAUCAUAUAGAGUGCUUAAUACCUUCUCUAUAAGAUUAACUAGAACCCUUACCCAUAGUCUAAAAUUUAAGUAGACCAUAAAAUAGAGAUAACUUUAAGCAUUAUUUAGCUAAAAUUGGUGUCCUAAUUCACCUUUAAAAUAAUUAGGUGGCAACUCUCUUUUUAAUGAAUUAAACCUCUAGAAUUUCCUAUAGGUUAUAUUCUAAUUUGACCCAGUUAAAAUGGGGUAAAAUAGGGUGUAGUGGGUUAUGGUAUUUGGUUGGAGAGUACGAGCUUGAGAGGAUUUGAUUGAUUGUCUCAUUGUGGUAAUCGUGGUAGGGUCAUGGGAGAAUGUUGAUUUAAGGUUGGUCAACGGUAUUAGAGGUUAUGUGUUUUGUAUGGGACUUCUAUUCUAUGGAAGGUACAUAUUAUCAUUCAAGGCACUUGAGGAGGCAAGCUUGACUGUCACGAGGUUAGAUAUGCGAUUAAUAAAUGAUUUGGGGUAUCUUAUGAUUGGUUCUAUAUGAGCAUAUGGUAUUGUGGAUCAUCAGAUGUUGUGUCCUAUGGCUUCACGCCAAGUAGGGGAGUCUGUUAUCCACGAUCAGAUUAUGUGGUUAUGUUUUAUAGUAGUGUUGGUCUGAGGUAUAUAUGUGGUAUGAGAGGAUUCCCCGAAAUUGCAUAUGGCUAAGAUCUGAGGUUUGCAUGGGUUUGUGCUGAGACUUGCAGUAUUUUUGUGCCAUUGUUAAUUCUAUAUUUCAGUAUACGGGGAUGUUAGAGAAACAACUUCAGAUUCACAGAAGGUCCCUUCAGAAUGGGUAUCCCAGUUGCGUCAUUAUUGGGUGCUUUAGAGGAAAUAUAGCGGUUUGUGGGCAUUCAGAGAUUAUCUACUUAUAUUAGGAGGAUCAUAAUUGAUUUUGAGGCCGUGGGUAGGCCUAACUAGAAUGUGUGUUCUACAUCGAGUCAGAUUUGUUUACUUAACACAGCUAUUGUUGAGGGCGGUGUCAUCGGUUAGAGUUGAUCUUAUUUGUGUUCUGCUGUGUUCCAUGUAUUAUUACUCUUCUAUGCCACGAUGAUUUGUGAGAUUGUUGACUAUCUACGCAAAUAAUGCGGUUGUGUUUGGGCCUUGUAGUGGAAUUCGAGCGAGAUGACUCUUGAGGUAUGGAAUCGUUGAUUGCUCCUUGGUCACACAUUUCAUGUGUUUGUUGUUGAUUUGUGUAUGGUUGUUGAUUUUGAACAUUAUGGUUCGUGGUAUUUCAUGUGGACCGGUGUUUGAAUAGGGUCACGCAUUGCAGUAAAGUUAUGUUGGGAUAUGAUCCUUUGUGUGUUAAUUUUGUAUGUUUUAGCUCUCCUUUGUGUGAUGGGUUCAUAGCGUUGCGCUUGUGGUGGUACCUGUUGAGCUUGCGGGAUGAUUCUCUCAUUUGAUCUAUUUUCCGUUAUUGGGUACAUUUGCGUUGUGGCUUUAGGUGGUAUUGGUGUGGCAUGUUGUAGAGCAGCUUGUAUUUAAUGAGAUGAGGUUAUUAGACCUGGAACGAGUGCUAUCGUAUUUGAUCACGGUAUGUUUGGAAGAAUAAUGUCAUUAGUCUGCUCAAAAUUUGGCAAUGGUUCUUAUCGGGCGAGAGAGCUUCACGACUUGUUGAUCUGAUGUUUGGUUAUGAGAAGCGUGUUUCUUUUAUCAUCGGCAGUGUACGAAGGUUUAGAACAAGGUUUUGUUCAAUAUGAAAUUUGUUACCUGUACCAGGUUUGUUUUUGGGCAGCUAUUGUGGUCAGAUGUUGUGGCUAUGAGUACCUUAUGAAGUAUAUCAUGUCACAUCUCAGGUUAUGGUUAUGGCUUGAUACAACUUGUUCAGACUUAUACAGUGGGUCUACAUGUUAGACUCGGGUCUUGUAAAUGAAUUCUAGAUGUUAGGGAUUGGGUUCUACGGUUUAUGGACUAAGGAUGAAGUAAGGAUCUUCAGUUAGGUUGAGUUGUCAGUAUUAUAUGGAUUGGGGUGUCGUGGGAUCACCCAUGGGUAUGUGUAUAGUGAGGUUGUAUAGUGAUUUGAUGGCUUUGGAACGACUCUUGGCACGUUCGAGGAUGAACGUAUGUUUAAGUGGGGGAGAAUGUAACUACCCGACUGGUCGUUUUGAGCUUUUGCAUUCAGUUCAAUGGUUUGAGGUAAUGAGUAGCUUCAUAUAGUAUAUUAUGACUUGCAUGCAUGGUCGGUUUUGGUUUUCGAGUUGUUCGGGAUUGAUUUGGAAGAAUGAUGCUAAUUUUUGAAUCUUUAAGUUGGAAGAGUCGGCCAAGUUUGACUUUUGAGUAUUUGAUCUCGGGUUGGGGUUUUGAAGGUUCCGUAAGGUCUAGAUCGUGAUUUUGGACUUGGGCGUAUGCCUUGAUUUGCAUUUGGAUGUUUGUAGAAGGCUUUGGCACUAAUUGGCGAAAAUUGGAAAUGUUGAAGAUUUGGAAGGUUGAUAGGUUUGACUGAGAGUUGACCUUGUAGAUAUCGGGUUCGGAUUACGGUUUCGGGAAUUGGUAUAUGUCUGUUGUGUCAUUUGGAACUUGCAUGCAAAAUUUGAGGUCAUUCCGAGUUGAUUUAAUAUGGUUAGGCAUGCGUUUUAGAAGUUGAAAGUUCAUUAGUUCAUUAAGCUUGAUUCGAUGUGCGAUUCGUGGUUCAAAUAUUAUUAUGUGUGAUUUGAGGCCUCGAGUAGGUCAGUGUUAUAUUUUGAAACUUGUUGGUAUGUUCGGACGGGGUGUCGGGGGCCUCGGGUGUGUUUCGAAUGGGCUACGGGCCAUCUCUUCAUGUUUUGGAAUUGCUGUUUUUUUUAUGUCUGCAGUUCAUCUCGUUCACGGAAGGAUGUUCGCGAUCGUGAUGUGUACUGUGGGUGGCUAGGAAUUUUCACAUCGUGUUCGCAAGACUACAGUCGCGUCCACGGAGCCUCAGGGAAGAUGUUCAUCGCCUUCGCGUUCAUGUUCGCUGCCUUGCGAUCGUGUAGAUGCAGAGUUGGAUGGGCGCCGGAGAUUGGCUUUCGCGUUCGCGUACCAGACCUCUUGUUCGCGAGGCUAAUUUUGUUAGGGGUCACAUUUCGCGAGCUUCUGACCACGUUCGCGUAGUGUGAUUUUGGGCAGCUGAUGAUUUCGUGAAGAGGGUCCCGUGAUCGCGAAGAGGAACCCCUGGGCAGAGUUAUAAGUACUCUAUUUCGAGAGCUUUUGUUAUUUUAUCACUUUUUGAGUUAAAGAACUCGGGUUUGGGCGAUUUUGGAGGGGAUUUUCACGAUUUGGAUCGGGGCAAGUAUUCUUGACCCGGAUUUAGUUAUAUUUCAUGAUUCCAUCCUUGUUUUUAUCAUUUAAUUGAUGAUUUGAAUUGGAGAAAUUGAGGAUUUUAGUAAAAACGUUUCUAAAACAUAAAUUGAUGAUUUGAAGGCAGAUUUUGAGGUCGGGAUUGGAUGAUUUUGGUAUGGUUGCACUCGUAUCGGAAUGGGUAUUCAGAUUUUGUGAGUUUUGUCGAGUUGCAAGGUGCGAGCUCGAGGUUGACUUUUUGAUUUUCAAUAAAGAUCGAAGCUUUAUUAUCCAGAAUUAUUUCCUAUGGCUUUUAUUUAUGAUAUUAAGUUAUUUUGGCUAGAUUCGAGCCGUCCUUCACACGGGAAGGGCUUCUUAGAGUAUUAAUUUAGCUUUGUUGAGGUAAGUGUCUUGCCUACCUUUGCGUGGGCGAAACUACCUCGUAGAAUUUGGUUUAAUUGCACUAUUUGGAUUGUGUGGAAGACGUGUACAUGAGGUGACGAGCAUGUACACGGCCUUAUCUAUGAAAAUUGACCAGAUUAGACUCUUAUGCUUCUUAUAUGCUUUAAUUGAAUUUGUCAUUACAUGUUCUAUAUUCCAUUGUCAAGUUUAUUCUUAUAUGCUUCAAUUGAAGUUGUUAGUACAUGUUCUAUCUUUCGUUGUUGAGUUACUCUUAUAUGUAUUUAAUUGAGGUUGUUAUUACAUGUCAUGCCUUUCAUAGUUAGGGUUUAUUCUUAAGCAAGUAAUUGAAGUUGAAGUUAUUGAGAGUUAUUAACAUAUUUUUAGUUGAAGUUGUUGUUUUAUAGAGUAUCUUUCAUUGUUGAGUUAUUUCCCAUUUUAUUUUAUUGUUAUUGAGAUUCUUGUACAAACUGUGGUUGAGCCGUGGGCUAUGUUUUGUGGUUACAUUGGUAUUGUUGUUUUGGUAAUGUUCUGGCCUAUGGACACAUGUGGUACGAGUUGAUAUGUCGUGUCGUUGUGAUUUUGGCACAUGUGGAUUUGUUGUGUGUAUUGAUUGUUGCUCCACGGAGCAUAAGGGUGGUAUCUCCCUGUUGUUGAUUGUGCGGAGUGAUACAAGUGGCUAUUGAUGUACUAUCUGGGCGGAGUGAUACGAGUGUCUAUUGAUAUAUUGUGUGGGCGUAGCGAUACGGGUGACUAUUGUGUUAGUGUCUGUGCGGAGUGAUACGGGUGGCUAUUGUGUUAAUGUCUGGGCGGAGUGAUACAAGUAGCUAUUGUAUUAAUUGUCUGGGCGAAACGAUACAGGUGGCUAUUAUGAUAUUGUCAGCAUGGUGGGAUAAGGGUGGCUAUGUCAUGGCCUGGGGGCAUAUUAUUGAUGAUAUUCGUUCGGUGGUGUGACUUCCUUGUGUGUGUCAUGCAUAUUACGCGAUUUGUUGUGUUGUUUCUAAUGUGCUACUCGAUGACACUGAUAUUACUUGUUGACUUGAGCUAUGAUUGUACACUUGCACAUGCAUACACCAUAACGUGCCACUUAUAUAGUCCAGGAGUAUGAUAUUUGAUGAUCAUUGACCAUGUAGAUGCAUUCUCGUGUAUUAGCUUUCUCUGCGAUAUAGCCAGACUAGUAGCCCGUGACCACGUGAGCGGUUUGUGAUAUUGAGCUUGUGACCAUGCUGGGCGGAUUAUGAUAUUGAGCUUGUGACCAUGCCAGGUGGGUUGUGAUAUUGAGCCGGUGACCACACCGAGCAGAAUGUGAUAGUGAGCCUGUGACCAUAUCGGGCGGAUUGAGAUAUUGGCACGUAAGUUGUCCGUAUGGUUGUGAUUAAUAAUGUGGGCACGAGGUGUCAUGUGUAUAUGAUAUGUCAUUUGGGACUCGUGACUUGUGGUUAUGAGGUGUGGUACCUCUGGGUGGUUUUGUUGUAACCCUUGUGUGAGAACGACUUGAUUAUUGUCAUUUGUUUUCCUUAAUUGAUUUUACUGGCACUUUAAAUUUGUUAUGAUUACUUUACUAUUUUAUCACAUGUUUAUUUUCUUGUUGCCAUUUUACUGAUCAUUGCUUCCAUUAUUAGCUUUAUACUGAUAUUCUGUACAUGUUAUUAUGUCUUGUAGGUGUCUUGACUUGUACCUCAUUACUACUCCACCGUGGUUUGUCUUGAUACUUACUGAAUACCGACCAUGGUGUACUCAUACUACACUUCUGCACAUUAUUGUGGAGAUCCAGGUAGUGGAGAUAACAGACUCAGGCGGAGUUAGUUUCUUGAUCGCGAUGAUUCAGGGUAGAGCUGCUUGGUCAUCGUAGUUCCUUGGAGUCCUUUCCUUUACAUUUAUAUCGUCAAAUUCCUAUUCGAACAAUAUUGUAUUUCUAGACAUUUGCAUUUAUUCAGCUAGAGUUCGUGACUCGGUACUACCUAGUCUUGGGGAUUGUAGUGAUUAUCGUAGUGUUGGCAUGCAUCACCUUUAAAUUUCUUAUUUAUAUUAAAUUCUACUUCAUAAUAUCAUGUUUAAUUAGUUUAACAAUUGUUGUGAUCGGCUUACUUAGUUUUAGAAAUUAGGUGCCAUCACGAUCCUUAAGGUGGGAUUUGGAUCGUGACACAUAAGCUCUACGGAGCGUACACAAGACAUUCCAAAAUACAAUACUAUUUGGGUUAAAAUCAAAUACUAGCAUAAAUAAAGUAAGAUGGUGACUUUGAGGCCUGUGAACAGAACAAUAGGUAUACCUUGAAGUUUUCAACCGCACAGGAACAACUCUCAAAACCAACACGAUCCGAAGUACCUCGAUCUGCACACAAAAAAUGUGCAAAAGCAUAGUAUGAGUAUACCACAGCGGUACCUAGUAAGUAUCAAAACUAACCUCGGUGGAGUAGUGACGAAGAAGUCAAGACACUCACUAGACACAAAAUCUGUGCAAGAUAUUAACAUAAAGCUAACAUUGGAAAGAAUGUCAACAUAAAACUAACAACGGAAAGAUUAUCAAUAUAAAACGAACAAUGGAAUAAUAACAACAACAAAUGGAAACAAGAAGUAAACAAGUAAUAAAUAAACAAAAUAAUCAGAAUACAGUUAAGGUAUAAAUGAAUUCAAUCAAGGAAACAAAUGACAAUUUAAAUAAUCAAGUCGUUCUAACACAUGAUUUACAACAAGAAUUACCCGAGCACCACACCUUAUAAUCACAAAUUAUAGGCCAUAAUCACGAAUCUUACACAUAUGGCACAUCGUGUCCACAUUAUCAAUCACCUUCGCACGACAAAUAUCUCGUGCCACAACAUAAGUCUCACCCGCACGGCAAAGUCCACGUGCCACUACGUACAUCGUAUCCGUGUCAAUUGCCAAUAAAAUAUCCGAAGGAUUCAUUUAAAUAAAGUAAGUCAUGAUGACAAUUUAAAUAAAGUACGCGCCAAAUGAGAUAUAGAGUUUAUUUUAGGAAUCAAAUAAAAUAAAAUAAAGUACAAUUUAUACAAAGUAGAGCAUCAAAUGAGAUGAUGAGUUUAGUUUAAGAAUCAAAUAAGGUAAGGCAAAAUGACAAGUUAAAUAAAGUAAAGCAUCGAAUAAGGUAACUAGUUUAAUUUAAGAAUCAGUUAAAGUGAAGCAUGAUAGCAAUUUAAAUAUAGUAAAGUGUUGAGCGAGAUAAUGAGUUUAUCUUAAAAGUCAAAAAAAGUAAAUCAUGAUAAUAUUUUUCUUUAUUUAAAACUGUUAUAUCACCAACAACUCAACAUAAUAUGAGAUAAUGACUCCACACAAGUAAAUUCAUCUUGACAACCAAUUCACCAAGUAACAAAGGAGGCACAGAUUAACACAUUAAAGCAACACAGCAAAUCACGUAAAAUACAUGACUCACACAAGAAGUCACAAUCAUUCCAACACAAAAAUAACAACAAGAGUAACCCCGAGGUACCACACCUCUUAAUCAUAAUACACAUGUCACAAAUCAUAAAUCUUUCUUAUAUCGCCGCGUGAGCCUUACCCCACGUGCCCAUAUGCCACAACAUUUUCACAACAACAAUAUCAAUGGCACAACAUUUAUCAAACCACAAUUCCAAUGCCAUAAUAAUACAUAGUCUACAGCUCAACAACAAGGUAUACAAGAGUCUCAACGACAACACAAGGAAGCAGAAGAAUAAACUAAACCAUGAAAGAUAUUUCAUGUAAUAACAAUUUCAAAUAAAUGCAUAAGAAGCAACUCAAUAAUGAAAGAUAAUCCAUGUAUUAACAACUUUAAUUAAAUGCAUACAAGAAUAAACCCAACAAUGAAAGUUAAAACACGUAAUAACAACUUCAAUUGAAUGCAUGAAAAUAAACUCAACAAUGAAAGAUAUAACAUGUAAUAACAACUUCAAUUAAUGCAUAUAAGUAACCUAAGAGUCUAAACCGAUCAAUUUUUACAUAUAAGCCCGUGUACACACUCGUCACCUCAUGUACACGUCUUUCACAUAAUUCAAAUCGUGCAAUUAGACCAAAUCCUACGGGAAAGUUUCCUGCACACAAAGUUAGGCAAGAUACCUACCUCAAUUAGGCUAAUUCAUCAUUCAAAAAUAGCUUUUUAAAAAAAAAUUCGCCUCCACACGACUCAAAUCUAACCAAAAAAUGAUUUAAUAUCAUCAAUCAAUACAAGAGAAAUCAUUUUCGAUUAAUAUAGUCAUGAUUUUUACACAAUUUCCCAAAAGUCAACUGCGGGCCCGCCCUGUCAAAAUACGAGUCCAAGGGUAGAUCUCGAUUACCCAUAACCCUACGAGUCCAUAUUGUGUUUUGUUUUAAAAUUCGAGUCCAAUUCGACUCUCAAACCUCAAAUUAUCAUUUUUCAAAACAUAGACAAAAGUUUCCAAAAAUUAUCUUCAAAUUCCAUGUAUUUGAGGUUAAAUCUCAUAACUAAUCAUAUAAUAUAAUUAAAAAUUAAUCAAAAUCACUUACCCAAUAGUUGUAUGUGAAAAUCCCUCCUCAAGAUCGCCUCCAACCGAGUCUAGGGUUUUAAAAUGUGAUAAAUGGAGCUAAGUCCCCAAAUCCCUCUAUUUUGAUCACCCGCAGAAGUCGCAAAUGCAACCCAGGGUUUGCAAAUGCGGAAUAUCUAUCGCAAAUGUGGAAUCUGAUGAAUCCCAGGGAAAGUCGGAAAUGUGACCCUGACUUCGCAUUUGCGAAGUCAGGCCCUUUGCAAAAGCGAUCAUGUGAUCACAUAUGCGAUCAUGCCAGUCCAGGUCCCCCCAUCGCAAAUAGAGAACAAAUUGUUCGCAAAUGAGAACCACCUAGAGCCAGUAAACUUCGCAAAUGCGGUUCCUACCUCACAAAUGCGAACAGUGUCUUGCAUUUGCAAGACCUGAGGCACCAACAAUGAACCAGCAAAACUGAAGCAGCCAGAAAACACUCCGAAACGCAUCUAAAACUCGCCGGAACCCUCAAGGCUCCACGCCAAACAUCCACUAAAGUCCAAAAAUAUCAUACGAGCUUGCUCGCACAAUCAGAACACUAAAAUAACAUUCGGAGCUACGAAUCGGACAUCAAAACACAUGAAAUUUCACAAUGAAUUUAAGAAUCGCUAGAAAAAUAACUAAGCGUCCGAUUCCUAUCAAACCAACUCAGAAUGGUACCAAAUUUAUCAAACAAGUUCCAUACAACAAAAUCCAAAUUUAUCAAACAAGUUCCAUACAACAAAACAGACCUAUUUCAAGUUCCAAAACAAAAAUCCAAACCCGAUAGAUAUUAAGUCAACCUGCGGUAAAAUUUAAAGAAUUUCUAAACCUCCAAAUCGCCAACUUUCGGCAAAACAAGCCAAAUCAACCUAGGAACCUCUGAAUUCAAAUCCGGGCAUACGCGUAAGUCCAAAAUUACCAUCCAAACCUAACGGAACCAUCAAAACUCCGAUCUGAGAUCAAAUAUGCAAAAGUCAAACUUGGUCAACUCUUCCAACUUAAAGCUUCUAAAAUGAGAAUCAUUCUUCCAAAUCAAUCCCGAACCGUUUGAAAAUCGAAACCAACCAUACACGCAAGUCAUAAUACAUAAUAUAAAACUUCUUAAGACAUUACAUUACCGAACUGAAUACAAAUGCUCAAAACGACCGUUCAGGUCAUUACAUUCACCUUCGCGAACGUACAACUCUCACACGAACGCGUAGACAUGGGCUCUUGGGGCUACCAGGGCGGUUUUUCAUUGCAAACGCAAUAGUGGAUCGUGAACGUGGAGGCUUGGGGGGCCGAUAGUCUUUGCUAAUGCAAAGAGUCUUUCACUAACAUGAUGGCCAGUUGGCCAUUAGCCUUCACGCGUGAUAGGUGCUUAGCGAACGUGAAGAGCACUUAAUGCCCAGGUAUAUAUUAGAUGAAAAAUCGGGGUUUAGUUAUUUUUCACCAUUUUUGAGACCUAUAUCACGGAUUGAGGAGAAAUUUGAGAGAAUUUCCAUCCCAAAUUCAUAGGUUAGUAACUUUAGCUUGUUUUUGAAUUAUUUCCAUAAUUCUACACAGCAUUUUGUCCCUAAACCUAGUACUUUUAGGUGUAGAAAUUGAGGUUUGGGGAAAAAAUUUAUGAGGGCUAAUUUUGGAGAUUUGGCCCUCGGUUUGAGGUCCAAUAUUAAUGCAAAUCACAUAUUUGAACUCGGGGGAGAAUGGGUAAACUGUAAUUGGUCUUAAUUUUGGAUUUUGAUAAUGUGUGUCUGGGUUGACCUUUUGUUGGCUUUCCCAAAUUUGUUAAAGAUCGAGCCUUUUUAAUACUACGGUAGUUUCUAAAGCUUGUUUUGACUUAAUUGAACCUUAUUUGACUAGAUUCAAAUUGUUUGGCGUCUUGUGCUAAAGGCAAAGCUAUGUUGGAUUGUUAGUUAUAUUUUGAAAAGAGAUAAGUAUCGUGGUUAACCUUGAUUUAAUAGAAUUAGGAUGUUAUUUGGUCUAUUUGCUACAUGAAUUGUGUGUGUGGAAUGACGUAUAUGCAAGGUGACGAGUGUAUACACGUUGUCAUUGGUCAAUGCAUGCGGGUAAAACUAGAUUAUUUUAUGUUUUAUUUAUUACAUACUCUCACAUGUUCCGUGCCUUUAUCUAUUACAUGUUUUACUUGUUCCAUACCUUUAUUUGUUACAUCUCUUGCUUUUCACAUGUUUUACUUGCUGCAUGCUUGUACUUGUUCAUGCUUUUACUUACUAAAUGCCUUUACUAGAACAUGUUUAUACUUGUUUUAGGUCUUAUUUUCCUGGCUAUGUUGGGAAUUGUGCGAUCUUUUGAUUGUUCGGAUCCUUAUUGGUUACAUGAGUAAGAUUAUAUCUAAAAUUUGGGAUUUUCCAUUACUUCUUGUUCAUGUCCAUCUUUUCCUUAGUGAAUUAUGCUUAUUCGUUCUCCUCGAUAGUUAUUAUGGAUUUGGCUAUAUUUGGAUGUGUUGUUUGAUGAUUUCGUGUGAAUUGAUAGUAGGAUCGGGUUGCCACAAUAAUAAUAUUAUGAUAAGAAUCAGGUUGCUCACCGCAAUAAUAGUAUGGCUAUAGAAUCGGGUUGCCGCCACAAUGAUGUUUGUCGGCGUUUGAUCGGGUUGUGCGCCACAACGUAUGUGUUAUGUGAUGUCAGUUUUUCUUGUGAUAUAAACUUUCUUUGUGGAAUUUGUCUACAUUGAUUAUGGAUAUCGUUCAUUUUCUGUCGAUUUGAGCCGUUGAAAAGGGUUUUGGUUGUGAUAUUUAGGAAACAUGGUUAUCAUUACUGAUAUCAGAUUCUUUUACUGUUUCCUGUCUUUUGUUCCUAUUAUUAUUAAUAUUGUUAUCUCUAUUAUUAUUUCUAUUGCUUAUUAGUUGUACAAGACUUUAUGGUAAGUGGCUCGUCAUAGCCUCGUCACUAUCUCGUCGAGGUUAGGCUCGAUACUUACUGAGUACAUGAGGUCGGUUGUACUCAUAUUAUACUUCUGCACUUCUUAUGCAGAUUCAGGUGUGAGUCCUAGUAUUUUUCAGAGGUGAGCAUCCCUUGGAUACCAGGGAGACUUGAGGUAGUGUUGUUUUCCCAUCCGCAUGUCACGACCCAAACCGAAGGGGCCGCGACAGACACCCGGUGCCUUACUCAACCGAGUACUAACGUAACAUAUAUUUCUUAUCAUACUAUCAUGGGUAAAUGAGACGGAAAGACCAUCAUGAGAUAACCAGAAUAAAACAUAAGGGAUUACUUGACAUAGGAUUACCCAACACGAUAUACAAACUUAUACAUGUGACAUACGGGCCUGUAAGGCUGACAUGAUCAUUUGUACACUCAAACCUUAGGACAAAAAGUCCAUACAAGUAUCCAUAUACAUGACAUCUGUCUACAAGCCUCUAAGAUUACAUAAACGUCAUAAAGGUCAGGACAGGGCCCAGCCAUACCAAUCAAUACAUGUUCAAAUCAUACUGCCCAAAUAGGUAACUCCGGAGCAAGUGGAGUGCACCAACCCCUUCCACUGAGCUUAUAGCCUACUAGGAGACUGUCAACCUAUCUAUCAAAACCUGCGGGCAUGAAAUACAGCAUCCCCAGAAAAAAGGGACGUCAGUACGAAUACAAUACCAAGUAUGUAAGGCAGGAAAGCAUAAAUAAGAACAGUAUUGUAAAGAAAGAUAGAGAAGAUACAACUUGUAGCAUUUGAGUGCCUCUGAGGGCUACUGACAUGAAAUGCAUGAUAUAUAUAUGUAUAAACUUUUAAAAACAUACGCCUCUGUGGGCAUCAUUAUCACCAUAUCCUACCCGGCCGUAAUAGGCUCGGUAAAAACGUACCUGGCUAUCACAUGGCUCGGUAGAAUCAUACCCGACCACGUGGAGCUCGGUAGAACCCAACUGAUCAGUGGUUGCACAAUCGGUGCCAUACUAGGCCGACUAUAGAGCGUCUCGGUAGAGUAAAAUAGAUACAUAUAUAUAAUACAUGCUAGACUCUUGGAAUCACGUUCUAAACCUUUUGAUGUGAUGUAAGGUCGUCACACCUUUGAUUAACAUUAUGGAAAUCCAUACCAUCAAUAUGAACCUCAAUAGGAUUCAAGGAUCAUACAUACUUGCUUAGAAUAACUUUAUAAGAAAAGAACAACAUGGACAACCGUAGUUGCUAGGAGUAGAUCCGUUAUGAAAUAGCGUAUCGUUUAUGUUCAUUUCACAUUAGAUCAUGCCAGAAGAAAUAAGGAAGUGCCUUAACAUACCUUUGAAAUCUUCUCUCCAAUCGUCAACCAAUCUAAAGCGUUGUAACUCUCAUAUUCCGAAACCAAUAUUCUACAAGAAAACGGACAGCACCUCCCCUAUUUUCAGUACAUCCCAUAAGUUACUAAAAGUCACCAAACAGCCCAAACAACAACAAUAUAAUUCACAAUAAGCUCUCGGAUUACUUCAACAACCAUUUUAAGCAGGAAACUCGAUUCAUGUCUAAUAACACUAUAUUUUGAAUCCGUUCCCUUUUAUUUAUAUUCAGGAAAAUGUUCAUAAUAACAACACAAUAUACUCAGGUUAUUCCAUAAAAUAUCCAGCCAUAAAACACUACAAGAACACCUCCCAAAUAGUUUAACAAUCAACAACAUUACUAACAAGCCUUUCGAUCGAUAUCUCACAAGUUUUAGCUUCAACGACUUAGACGUAACUUGGAUAAACCCAAAUACAUGUAUAGUAUGAGGUUCCUUACCUUUAAAUAGAUAUAACAACAUGAAAUAUCCUUCCAACGCAGCCACAGGAACAAGGAAGCGAAACUAGCAAUCAAUUCGGGUUUCUCGGCGCUAGAAUCACUUUGGAAGACUUGAUAUCACCUAGGGUUGAUAUGAAAACCUUGGGAGAGUAUUUUACAGAGCUUAAACCACUUUAAACAACUCCCCACAUGAUAUGGAACCACAUGAAAAUCAGCAACCACAAGAAGAACCAGAAACUCACUAGUGCCACCGGAUUCCCGACGCUUGAUUUGUGUUGUUUGCCCUUGGUUUGGGUCUUGGAUCAUGAGAGAACUUCGAGAGAAAGUUUUUAGGUGUCUAGGGUUUGAAGAGAGUGAAACAUAAUGAGUUAAAAUGGGCUUUAGUCAUCNNNNNNNNNNNNNNNNNNNNNNNNNGAAAAUGCGAAUAUAUCUCUACUCCGAUGUCGUAUUGAUGAAUUUGGUAGGCUGAGCAUCCUAUAAUUGCAAGUAUAUUGGGAGAAAAGCUUAGCUACAGUUUACCUAAGUUUCAACACAUUUAUGAAUGUAACUUGUGAUGACCUUUGCCAACUUUUGUUCCACAACUCGCUUGACUUCAAAACUCAACAUAAGGCUAUCGUACGACUAAAAUAACUCAUAACAUAACCUCCUUAUCAUGUUAAGCACCCUAUUCUCACCCCAAAUGUACAUGUUGUAACAUUUCCAACUUGUCGACUUUCGACGAAACUUAUUUUCUUCAAAAAUUUUGCUUCUAAGCUUUCCAACACUCUUGGUACUUGUUAUUCAUGAUCUUAAAUAUUUGUAACCCCCAUGGUAACAUAAUUAACUUAGUUUAUGUACUUCCAAAAAGGAUCUCAUUUCCGAGCUUACAUCAAUUGACUUACGACGUAUUUUUGCAUACAAAAGCAUGGGGUGUAACAUCGUUCCCCCCUUUGGAAUAUUCGUCCUCGAAUGUUGAAUGGUGAGCUUGUCAGUCUCAUAACCUAUAACUUUUAUGAAUACUUUAAUACUAUCCCAUCUAAGCAACUGUUCUGUGAAUAAAUCCAAAGGCCAACGCAUUCCCCUCUUUAGGCCUCUUUCUCACACCACGACUUGUGGUCGGAAUUCUUCCAAUCUUGUAACUGUUGCUACCUUUUGGCCUGUACAACUCUGCCCUUGUAUGUGCGCCUAUGCGACUCUUCUCUCAUUAUUCCUCCAGCUUUUAGCCAAUAUCUAGGCCUCACUUUAUGAACUUAUACAUAACUAUGACAAGUUGUCCCUCUAGGCAUCUAUAGGUGUAUUGAAGUUCUUCACUUGGUACUUUGUCAAACUUACGACUAUUGCUAUAUCUUGCCUCAUAGCCUUGGUUAUAUAUGCUUAUGGCUUUACUAAAUCUAUGUAGGUUAUACUAUACCAUAACACUUACUUCUGUUUAUUAUUACUGAGGUCUGCUACCCAACCCCAGGUUACUCUCUCGCUGCUUAUCCUAUAUGUAUAAAUCUAAUUCCUUUAAUGCUUCCUCGUUACUGUUCAUCUUAAGAAUGACAACCUAAUCUCAUCUUAUAAAUUGGAACUUUUAUCCGUCAAUUGUUGAUUCACCUUAAUGUUGAUCUGUAAUCUAACACUGAUAACUUGAAACUUCUCACGUAAUAUAUUGUCACUAGGGCUCACGUCUCAUCAGGGAACAUAUGAAGUUAUUUUCCUGAUCCACCUAGGGACGAUACUAUACUUCAUUCAUAGCAUCCCAACAUGAUUCAUCUUAUGGGGGUAUUCUAAUCCCGUACAAUUCAUGAAAUCCCUUCUCUUUGAAUCCUUAAUCAAUCGAAAGCCUAAACAUCAUCCUCUUAUCAAUCACAAUUACACCCUUAUUUUACUACCAGCGCAACAUUCCAUCUCGUCUAAAUGCUCCUAGUCCUAGACUCCUCCGAGUUCAUUCAGGAUAUACUGAGCUUUCUAUAACUUACGGAAACCAUAAACUCUCUUGUUUUGAUGGGCUUAAUCCCGAGGCCUUACCCAUUCUUGUCACCUUCUCACUCGCCUUUUCUUAUCCUUACUCCAAUCUAUCUAAAACCUUUUCGCUCUACCAUACUUUAGCUUGUGACCUACACAUAUCUAUUUAUACUACUCGCAAUCUCCCUUUAAAUUACUAGCACCAUAGAUUUCCUUUCGUGCCUUCUCAGUUGUCUUUAAAUGUAAGCAAUUACUUUUCCUGGUCGUUCAGCCAUUUGUUGCAUGAAUACUUAGCAUAUCGUAGUGCCCACACAUAUUGGAAUUCCAUGCAACCUAUAUGAUCUCGAAUACUACUUUUGAUUUUACUUCCCGAUCAUUAGUCACAAUAGGUGCCACUUUUUUAUGGAGUGCAUACGAUGUUGUUGUGAGACCGUUGUUACGAGAUGAUUUCUUCUUCAGUUUACUAUGCUUAGGUCGAAGCCUUCUUCCUUAUUUCCUCAGCUAGUAUUUUGUUGUAGUACUCAUGGGAUUCCCUCUAACUCGUGUAAGGUUGCGAGCUUAUUACAUUGUAUACCCGACGGAAUUUUCGAUGUUCUUACACGACUAUAAAUAUCCUUAGUUACAUAACUCAGUGCCCGUGUGCUCGUAGGGUUACUUCUGAACUCAAAUUUUGAUUGUCUCCCAAGUGGCACUAUCUCUAAUUUUAGUAUAACUUAAACGGUACCUUUAACUAUCCCAUCUCCUAUCUGAAAACUUUUAUCACUAUAUUUAUCUUUCAUGACCUACUAAUUUAUCUAUGACCUGCUGUCUAGCCAUAACUAGGCUCUUCCUGAAUCAACUACUAACUACACGUUGUUCCAUUCUUAUAUAUAUAUAUAUUUCGCGUAAUCUGUUGGGUUAUGUCCUUUGCCUUAACUUACCUAUCACACUAGCUUCUUAUAUAUCAAGUCUCCAUUCGUACUUAUUUAUCAAUAACAUCAUGCCGAUGCUGCCUCUCCCUGGCAUCAUCCUUGCAUAAUGUCCUAGAGUCGUAACACAUAUGUAGGAUCUGAAUAAAUGCAAUCUAAUCCCUUUUGCCAUCUUACCACAUUCUUCCUUUACCAUUCCAUAGUUACCUGAACCACUUAACUCUGACUUAAUACCAUAUCACAUCAUCUUUCCCCCUUUAGGGGAGUACUAACAAUUAAUGCUAUGAAGAUUUACCUAUAAAUAUUUUACCUCUUCAUAUUUGGCAUCAUUUCACAUCUUCACAGACUCUUACUCACCUUUUGGUAAUCCUUCUGUACCAAGGAUAACUGAAUUUCUUAUGCACGAGGGUGACACCUAGUGUAACUAGCACACUUAGUCCCUUAAGCUUAACUCUUCUCACAGAGCUUGCUUUAGGGAAGCGUCUUCCUGAAUGACCUUUAAAGGUUAUUCUUCUGUUGUCCAUUCUAUUAUUGCCAGAAUGUGAUCUUUGAAAUUCUCACGAUGCCGACUAUUAUCAAAUCCUUCGGUCCCUAAUUCAUGUUCAGUUUAUCUUAUUAACUAGCCCAUACUGAUUUCUAUUACUCCGGGGGUCUAACAUUUCCUUCUGGUAAUCACGUUGGACUCACCAACUCAUUUCUCGAAAUGAGGAUAUGGCUUUAGGGCUUAUACUCUUUUAUUGUCUCAAGGCCUGUCACCUCUUGUCUUUUCCUUCACUUGACUAUAGACUUUGUUAUCCUGUCAUAUUUUGAUUUACCGUUAUCACCCAUUUAUUAUAUCUUACUCAUAAUGCUUCAUUUACUCUCUUCUUGUUCUCCUACUAAUAUUUUUGUCUAUCACUUUAUUUUGGAAACUUCAACAAAACAUCCUUUCGCUUUUAGCUCCCCUUGCUCCAUCCACUGGCUAUCGGGUCACCUAACAUUCUCUCUUUACUAGGUACGGGAGCCAUACAAAGGCAAAUAUUUAUCCCUUCUAAGAUUCCAGCGCCAAUCUUCUAAAUUUUUUGGACAUUCUAGAAUUCAUAUCUAACUGUACUAUUCUAGAGUGCACCAUCUGGGUGUCUCACAAAGAGAACUAUUACCACAUUUGCAAUAUCCUUCGGAAAUGUCAGCUGACGCUAACAAUACAUCAACCAUUGUGGGUUAGUCUAACCCCAGACGGAUUCUGAUAUCCCAUCCUUCUCUUAAACUAUAUCUGUUAGCUCCCAUAGGGCAUAAUUGAGAUGGGUGUUGUCAAGUGUAUAUAUCUCUGUUACUGUUGAAAGUGACUCAAAAUGCUUAUAUUUCUCUGCCUGAAUUGUAAAUACCGAUAAUAUUUGCUAACCGGGUACCUCGUACCCUUCUUCACCUUGCUUCUUUUACUUGUUGAAACUUGUAUCUACCUUCUGAUUCUCUCGUUGCUUUUUACCAUGAGGGUGGAUAGAUAUUCAUGCCUUAGGGCUCCUUAUCAAGAUGCUUACACGUCUUAGUACACACAUGAUCUGAUGAAGACAUCAUAUUUACUCAUCAUAAGCAUGAUGCAAAAUCGAGUUCCUCUGACUCAACUCUUCCAUAGCCAUAUUCAAUCUCUUACCAACUGUCUUUCAUGAUGCAAGUAUCGUUGUACUACGAAUAAAAUAGAAUUUAGGAGUUUGAAUUCUUACAACUGAGUCUACCACACAAUCUAGAGUAAGAAAAAAGAGUGACAGUCCUAAAUUCCAUGUAGCCUCCUACUUAUAUGUGUGGUGCACAACACACCCAUAAACAAGACUCUACUAGACAUGGCUUGUAGACUCCCUAGGACAGAACUUCUCAGAUACCAAGUUUUUCAUGACCCAAAUCGAAGGGGCCGCGAAGGGCACCCGGCGCCUUACUCAAUCGAGUACCAAGAUAACAUAUCUUUCUUAUCGUACUAUCAUGGGUAAAUGAGCCGGAAAGACCAUCAUGAGAUAACCAGAAUAAAACAUAUGGAAUACUUGACAUAGGAUGACCCAACAUGAUGUACAAACUUAUACAUGUUACAUACGGGCCUCUAAGGUCGACAUGAUCAUUUGUACACUCAAACCAUAGGACGACAAGGCUGUACAAGUAUCCAUAUACAUGAUAUUUGUAUACAAGCCUCUAAGAGUACAUAAACAUCAUAAAGGUCGUGACAGGGCCCCGCCAUACCAAUCAAUACAUGUCCAAAUCAUACUGCCUAAAUAGGAUACUCCAGAGCAAGUGCAAUGCACCAAUACCUUCUGCUGAGUUGAUACCCUACUAGGAGGACUGUCAACCUGUCAAUCGAAAUCUGCGGGCAUGAAAUGCAGCGUCUCCAGGAAAAAAGGGACGUCAAUAUGAAUAAAGUACAGAGUAUGUAAGGCAAGAAAGCAUAAAUAAGAACAAUAAUGUAAAGAGAGAUAGAAGAGAUACAACCUGUAGCAUCUGNNNNNNNNNNNNNNNNNNNNNNNNNUAUAUAUAUAUAUAUAUAUAUAUAUAUAUAUAUAUAUACAUAAACCUUUAAUAACAUAUGCCUCUGUGGGCAUCAUUAUCAUCAUAUCUUACCCGAUCGUAAUAGGCUCGGUAAAAAUGUACCCAUCCAUCAUAUAGCUCGGUAGAAUCGUACCCGGCUACGUGGAGCUCGGUAAAACUCAACUGAUCAGUGGUUGCACAAUCGGUGUCGUACCUUACCGACUAUAGCGCGGCUCGGUGGAGUAAAAUAAAUACAUAUAUAUAAGGCAUGUUGGACUCUUAGAAUCAAGUUCUAAACCUUUUGGUGUGACGUAAGGUAAUCACACCUUUCAUUAACAUUAUGGAAAUCCAUACCAUCGAUAUGAACCUCAAUAGGAUUCAAGGAUCAUACAUACUUACUUAGAAUAACUUUAUAAGAAAAAAACAACAUGGACAACCUUAGUUGCUAGGAGUAGAUCCGUUAUGAAAUAGCAUAUCGUUUAUGUUCAUUUCACAUUAGAUCAUGCCAAAAGAAAUAAGGAAGUUCCUUAACAUACCCUUGCAAUUUUCUCUCCAAUCGUCAACCAAGCUCAAUAUGAUCUUCUUACGUCUACAAUGAGUAAACCGACUUCGUCAUCAUCAUAUAAGUGCUGUAACUCUCAUAUUUUGAAACCAAUAUUCUACAAGAAAAUGGACAUCACCUCCCAUGUUUUUUAUUACAUCCCAUAAGUUACUAAAAGUCACCAUACAGCCUAAACAACAACAACAUAAUUCAUAAUAAGCUCUCUUAUUUAUAUUCAGGAAUAUGUUCAUAAUAAAAACACAAUAUACUCAGGUUAUUCCAUAAAUUUUCCAGCCAUAAAACACUGCAAGAACAUCUCCCAAAUAGUACAACAACCAACAACAUUACUAACAAGCCUUUCGAUCGAUAUCUCACAAGUUCUAGCUUCAGCGACUUAGUCAUAACUUGGAUAAACUCAAAUACAUGUAGAGUAAGAGGUUACUUACCUUUAAACAGACAUAACAACUCUAAUUUGAGCUCAUUUCACCACGAAAUAUCCUUCCAACACAGCCACAAGAGCAAGGAAGCAAAACUAGCAAUCAAUUCGAGUUCUCGACACUAGAAUUACUUUGGAAGACUUGAAAUCACCUACGGUUGAUAUGAAAACCUUGGGAGAGUAUAUUGUAUAACUUAAACCACUUUAAACAACUCCCAACAUGAGCUGGACCCACACCAAAAUCAGCAACCACAAGAAGAACAAGAAACUCACUAGUGCCACGGGAUUCCCGACAUUUGAUUUUUGUUGAUUGCCCUUGGUUUGGGUCUUGGAUCAUGAGAGAACUUUGAUAGAAAGUUUUUAGGUGUCUAGGGUCUGAAGAGAGUGAAACAUAAUGAGUUAAAACUGGCUUUAGGCGUUACACACACACACACACACACACACACACACACACACACACAUAUAUAUAUAUAUAUAUAUAUAUAUAUAUAUAUAUAUAUAUAUAUAUAUAUAUAUAUAUANNNNNNNNNNNNNNNNNNNNNNNNNNNNNNNNNNNNNNNNNNNNNNNNNNNNNNNNNNNNNNNNNNNNNNNNNNNNNNNNNNNNNNNNNNNNNNNNNNNNNNNNNNNNNNNNNNNNNNNNNNNNNNNNNNNNNNNNNNNNNNNNNNNNNNNNNNNNNNNNNNNNNNNNNNNNNNNNNNNNNNNNNNNNNNNNNUAUCAACCGCCUAAGUGGGUCCCAUAGGGAGCUGCUUAUGCAGUCUCGUAAAAAUACGAAUAUCUCUCUACGCCGAUGUCGUAUCGAUAAACGCUUUAAUACGUUGGAAACUAGACUCUUAUAUUUUCCAUUUGAUAGGAUGAUCAUCCCAUAAUUCCAAGUAUAUUGGGAGAAAAGCAUAGCUACAUUUUACCUAACCUUUAGCACAUUUAUGAAUGUAACUUGUGAUGACCUUUGCCAACUUUUGCUCCACAACUUGCUUGACUUCAAAACUCAACAUACGACUAUCAUACAAAUAAAAUAACUCAUAAAUAACCUCCUUAUCAUGUUAAGUACCCUAGUCUCACCUCAAAAGUACAUGUUGUAACAUUUCCAACUUGUCGACUUUCGACGAAACUUAUUUUUUUCAAUUCGUUUAGCUUCUAAGCUUUCCAGCCCUCUUGGUACUAGUUAUUCAUGAUCAUAAAUAUUUGUAACCCCCAAGGUAAAAUGAUUAACUUACUUUAUGUACUUUCAAAGAUGAUAUUAUUUCCGAGCUUACAUCAAUUGACUUACGACGUACUUUUGUGUACGAAAGCAUGGGGUGUAACACCGCAGACUCUGAAGUCCCAUUCACUCUUGUUGUUACUAUUUUUCUUGUAUCACACAGUAUUAUAUUUCAUUUAAGACUAUUUUUUUAGUACUCUUAGUAGGUCAUGUACUUGUGGCACCAAAUCUUGGGAUGCUUGAAUAGGCAUCGUUUGUUUUAAACUUAUUAUAUAUGUAUGUUUCUGAGUUUACUUUUAUUAUAUAUUAUCAUUAUGUUGCUAACUAUUAGUCUAUUUCCAUUAUUUAUUAUUUUAUGUUAGCUUGCCUAGUAAACGGUGUUAGGCGCUAUUACGAUCCCAUUAGUUGGGAUUUUGGGUCGUGACACAUGGUCCUUUGUGCGGGCAUCCCAAAUUUAGUUCUAACCAUCUAGGCUCACAUUUGCACACUUCCUAUGGAUUUUCUACCUAUGUUCAUAUUCCUACAUAACAAAAAAAAUAAGAACACUAAUAAAAAUGAAUAAACAAAAACAAAAAAAAAA